rnacentral:lncRNA from 10 species
AACAUACUGAGGGAAAGGGCCGCUCGGAAAGAUCUAGGAAUGAACACCCAUCCUCACACCCCAGGAGUGCCUUGGUUUCAGAAAGCAGCUGGAACAUUAAUGGCAAUUCCACUUUCCCAUUCAUCGCCCCCGCCCCCACCACCCCACCAAGAAACUCAGUGGGAAUGAAUGGUCUACACAGAGAAACUGAAAUCUGGUUAGUCAAGAAGGAAAAAACAACCAAGUGCCUGGCAUUAAGAGGAUUUUUUUUUUAAGCUCAGCCUAUGGACAACAAAAGCAUGGACUGUAUUUCUCAGCAUCUUUUGCAGCUUAUUGUUGAAAGUCCAGUGAGCUACCUCAGGCUUUUCUCUGUGGAAUGACUGUUGCAGAGAACUGCACCUCAGAAGAAUGGAGUUUAAAACUGUGAUGACAUUCUACCUCAUUGAAGAAAUCCUCCAGUGCCAAGGGUGGAUCUCUAAAGAAGGAUUCAAUCCAGGAUCACAUCUUAUAUUUACAAUAACAUGCCUUUUUUCUCCUUCAGUCUGGAACCGUGUCUCAGUCUAUCU